rnacentral:lncRNA from 1 species
GGAGGCUCCGAGCCCCCCCUCCCCGUGCUACCCCCUCCCCCCGGGUGCUGGCUCCAUGUCUGUGUGACCGGCCUCAGGGGUAGAGUCCAGGCCCGACGCGGGGCGGGCCAGCGGCGGCGGCAGCUGAGGUGAGAGACGGCGGCGGCGGCGCGGGCACCCGGCCCCCCAGCGGGAGGAUGAAGCGGCGGAACGCCGACUGCAGUAAGCUCCGCCGCCCCCUAAAGCGGAACCGGAUCACCGAGGGCAUUUACGGCAGUACAUUUUUAUACCUGAAAUUCCUGGUGGUGUGGGCACUUGUCCUCCUAGCAGAUUUUGUCCUGGAGUUCAGAUUUGAAUACCUGUGGCCAUUCUGGCUUUUCAUCAGAAGCGUCUAUGAUUCCUUCAGAUACCAGGGACUGGCCUUCUCAGUAUUUUUUGUUUGUGUAGCAUUCACGUCAAAUAUAAUAUGCCUGCUGUUCAUCCCCAUACAGUGGCUUUUUUUUGCUGCUAGCACAUAUGUAUGGGUUCAGUACGUAUGGCACACAGAAAGGGGAGUGUGUUUGCCUACAGUGUCUCUCUGGAUCCUCUUUGUUUAUAUUGAAGCAGCCAUUAGAUUUAAAGAUCUCAAAAACUUUCAUGUAGACCUUUGUCGUCCAUUUGCUGCUCACUGUAUUGGGUACCCUGUGGUAACUUUGGGGUUUGGCUUCAAAAGUUACGUAAGCUACAAAAUGCGGUUAAGGAAGCAAAAAGAAGUACAAAAAGAGAACGAGUUUUACAUGCAACUUCUUCAACAAGCUCUCCCUCCAGAGCAACAGAUGCUACAGAAGCAAGAAAAAGAGCAGCCAAAGGAUUACCUGAUAUGGAUUCUUCGAUCCUUAUACACCACAAUGGAGGUAUCCCAGCCAACAAAAAACUCUCCACAACUUUGCCAGAGAUAGAAUACCGAG